AACGCUAGCUACAGGCUUAACACAUGCAAGUCGAGGGGCAGCAUGCCUAGCAAUAGGUNGAUGGCGACCGGCGCACCGGUGAGUAACACGUAUCCAACCUACCGGUUAUUCUGGGAUAGCCUUUCGAAAGAAAGAUUAAUACCGGAUAGUAUAACGAGAAGGCAUCUUUUUGUUAUUAAAGAAUUUCGAUAACCGAUGGGGAUGCGUUCCAUUAGUUUGUUGGCGGGGUAACGGCCCACCAAGACAUCGAUGGAUAGGGGUUCUGAGAGGAAGGUCCCCCACAUUGGAACUAAGACACGGUCCAAACUCCUACGGGAGGCAGCAGUGAGGAAUAUUGGUCAAUGGACGAGAGUCUGAACCAGCCAAGUAGCGUGAAGGAUGACUGCCCUAUGGGUUGUAAACUUCUUUUAUAUGGGAAUAAAGUGAGCCACGUGUGGCUUUUUGUAUGUACCAUACGAAUAAGGAUCGGCUAACUCCGUGCCAGCAGCCGCGGUAAUACGGAGGAUCCGAGCGUUAUCCGGAUUUAUUGGGUUUAAAGGGAGCGUAGGCGGACUAUUAAGUCAGCUGUGAAAGUUUGCGGCUCAACCGUAAAAUUGCAGUUGAUACUGGUCGUCUUGAGUGCAGUAGAGGUAGGCGGAAUUCGUGGUGUAGCGGUGAAAUGCUUAGAUAUCACGAAGAACUCCGAUUG
rnacentral:rRNA from 1 species